rnacentral:lncRNA from 1 species
AUGGUAAGCCAGGUCAUGUACUCUGUGGAUUCUGAUGCAGAAAGUAGAGGAUCCUCUCCAACUGAAUCUCUCCAAACAUCUGAACCCACUAUAUCUGAUGUAGGCAAUCUAUUGAGUGGCAAGUCCUCCCCUCGGCUGUCUCCUUCUGGCACCAUUAUGGCAACAAGCGAGACCUCCAAUGCAGCACAAAUCUUGAAGGCCAACAUUGAUGGAGAGGAAGUGGAUACCACCAGUCAUUCUGGUGUAGCUCAAAACAUUGUCAAGGACGAUAUGUCAACCAGCCCAGACAUGGUCAAAGAUGUCACACUUCCAACCCCAUCCUCUGAUAACUUGGGCAGUGAUGAUGACGUCACCGGCCUCAUCAGCAUGUUAGUAAUGAGAAUUCUAACAGAAAUCCAAACCCCAGCAGAAGAUUACCCAGUUGACGUCACACGCAAGUCACAAGACCUUAUCCCUAAAGUUAUGGAGGUCUUCUGUGCAUGGUCAGGCUGCUCUGAGACACAAGCCUAUCCAGAGAACUUGAGGAUUCAUAAAGUCUACAGAGUCGUCUAUAAAAAUCUGUUGGAGGAGUUUGGCUCGGAGAAAAUCCUCCAACAGGCCGUGACGACUCAGGACUCUUCAUUUGAUAGGAUUCUUGUCAAGUCUUUGAGUGAAGCGCUUCUCCACAGAUGUAAUGAGGCAUUGAGGGCAGCCUCAAGAACAUCAGUCAAAACCACCGGGCCUAAGGCUCUUCCACUGGCUGAGGAUGUGAGGGCUAGCAGCGGGAAACUAUCUUUUCUACAAAGGCUGGUCAGGCUGACAAGCAACUUAAAGCUAUUCAAGAAGGGGAACAAGAAGGAUUCCCACCGCUCUGAAUCAGAACAAGUACAGACCACUGCUGAAGAUGGCAUGCUGCCCAGCAUAGUGCCACAUGCUGCCAUGUCUGCACUGCCAAAGGAUCUCCCCGCCAGCUCCCAACAGGAGACGCCUCACAAACGUCCACUUCUCGUCAGGAUGUUUUCUGCCAUCUCCAAAGGCCUGUUCAAGCCCUUCAAACAGUCCUUAAAGACCAAGUAACUUCAGACAAUUAAUUAAACGUCAUUCAUUGCAUUAAAUUGGCCUUUGUCUUCUUAUGUGCUCCCGUUAACAGACCAGAUUACAAUACUGGUCUUUUAAAUGUUUGCAGUGAUAGCAACAUUAACUAUAGUGGUGUGUGUAUAGCCCUUCUACACAGUCUGACUCUUCUGACACUGUGUGACAUGCCCUCUGAUCCAGUGAUCUAGGAUCUUCUGAGUGGCUUUAGGCCUGAAUCUCUGCCCUCCUGCCCAAAUAAAUGUUUUCUCUUCUGAUAUAUCUGCCACUGUCAGCAGCCAGCAGGGGAAAACAGACAACGCUGUUGAGAGCUUUCUUUUCUCCCUCAUGACUAAAACACUGAGAAAGGCUUUUAUCUAUUGCAGCAUAUUCCAUCUUUUGAUUUAACCUAUUAUACGGUAGAAGUACCCAUUAUUUCCCAACGGUUAUAUCACAGGAAAUGUGUUAGAAAAAGUCAACUUACAGUGCAUCCGGAAAGUAUUCAGACCACUUGACUUUUUCCACAUUGUUACGUUACAGCCUUAUUCUAAAAUUGAUACAAAUAUUUUUUCCUCUCAUUAAGCUACACAAAACACCUCAUGACAAAGCGAAAAGUGUAGAACAUUUUAGCAAAUUUAUUAAGAAUAAAAACAGAAUUACCUUAUUUAAAUAAUUAUUGAGACCCUUUGCUAUGAGACUCGAAAUUGAUCUCAGGUGCAUCCUGUUUCCAUUGAUCAUCCUUGAGAUGUUUCUACAACUUGUUUGGAGUCCUGUGGUAAAUUCAAUUGAUUGGACUUGAUUUGGAAAGAAACACAGACCUGGGAAACAAUGAGAAACAAUAUUCUCUGAUCUGAUGAUACCGAGAUUGAACUCUUUGGCCUGAAUCAGGAUCCUGGGAAAGAUGAACGGAGCAAAGUACAGAGAUCCUUGAUGAAAACCUGCUCCAGAGGUUCACCUUCCAACAGGACAACGACCCUAAGCACACAGCCAAGACUAUGCAGGAGUGGAUUCGGGACAAGUCUCUGAAUGUCCAUGAAUGGCCCAGCCAGAGCCCGGACCUGAACCCAAUCGAACAUCUCUGGAGAGACCUGAAAAAACUGUGCAUCCCCAUCCAAUCUGACAGAACAUGAGAGGAUCUGCAGAGAAAAAUGGGAGAAACUCCCCAAAUACAGGUGUACCAAGCUUGUAGCGUCAUACCCAAGAAGACUCGAGGCUGUAAUCGCUGCCAAAGGUGCUUCAACAAAGUACUGAGUAAAGGGUCUGAAUAUUUGUAAAUGUGAUAUCAGUAUUUUAUUUUUAGUACAUAGGUUUUUGAUUAAAAAAAUAAUAGAACAGUUUUUGAUUUCUUAUUAUGGGUUAUUAUCUGUAGAGGGGGGGGGGGGGGGGGACACGAUUGAAUCAAUUUUAGAAUAAGCCUGUAACGUAACAAUGUGGAAAAGGUCAAGGGGUCUGAAUACUUUCCGAAUGCACUUUAUGUAAUGAAAAUAUUAGCUGGUUGCCACUAUAGAUAGCUAGGUUAUCCAGUGCAGUGGUAAUACUGCCUGCCUUGGGAGAUAACGUAGGAUGCGUGCUUAUCCGGGUGCCAGAGACACAAUCACAAGCUUUCUUCAGAAUACAUAGCUCAAACUUACAACGUAAAGAUAUGAUUAUCACUACAUAGGUUUUUUUUAACAAGAAGGGUGUUUUCUAUAUCUACCAACUAUGAAAUUUCAGACAUCAUAAACAGUAAGCAUGAGAAUAUCAUCAAGGCGGACAGGGACAAUGUAUGAAUACACAAAACAUUAUUCAAAUGGACAUUCCCCAAAUGAGCUAUGCACCAGCCCAUAGCCACAGGAUAUCUAUGGAGUAACAUUCAUAUAUUCAUCAAUUUAAAAAAAGGCAUGAAUAUUGUUUUUCUGCUUUUCUGAUCUUAAACCCUGGAUGUUGUCCAGGUUUCCUCCAGGGGAGACCUUCUGAAACAGUCGCGAAGGAAACAGCCGACAGUUACAGUACUGUGUUGAAGAUAGAUGAUGACACUCUUAAAAGACAGGUCAUUCCUUUACAUGGAGCAGUUCCUUAAACCAGGUUAGAUUCAACACAGCCACCUCAGACUGGACUCCACCACUCCUUCAUAACGCUGGAUCUCUUCAUAAUGCUGCUCCUCAGUCACUGAGUGCAUUUACACUGAUGAGAUGUCCUGCUUAGUCUAGCUGAAAGGGGAGCUCUAACUAGUCCUGCGGGCACCUAGCUGCUGCCCCCGCUAGGCUUGGACUGGGUCUUGCACCUCAAGGCCCCUCCGCGAGCCUGGCCCUUGGCUGGCUGCUGCUGUACUGGGGACUCUGCUGCAGCGGAAACUGGGGCCUGUUGGGCCGGGCUGUGAGGAGGGGCGGUCUGUAUCUGAAGCGAGGCAGCUGCAGUCACCACCUGCUGCUGGAGGAGCUUCUGCUGAACCACCUGGGCUGUGCCUGCUGGAAUCAUCUGGACCUGGGGAUGUAGUCUGGGUCAGGGCCACCGUCAGGGGCUGGAUCUGUUACGAGACAGGAAGAGGGUCACAGUAAAUCAGACAGAAGACAACAUGUUAUAAAGUGUAAGUUGAUCACUCAUGGCUGUAAUCUUUUGGGACCGUCCCUGUCCGGGUGUCACUUCUGUAGCAUUAUUGUUAGAGUGUAUGAUUGUUUUUUAUUUAUUUCAACUUUAGGCAAGUCAGUU